CGGUAACAUUGGUGCUUGCAUCAGAUGACGAGUGGCGCACGGGUGAGUAACGCGUAUGCAAUCUGCCUUUAACUGAGGGAUAGCCCAGAGAAAUUUGGAUUAAUACCUCAUAAUAUUGUUUUUCAGCAUUUUAAAACAAUUAAAACUUCGGUGGUUAAAGAUGAGCAUGCGUCCUAUUAGCUUGUUGGUAAGGUAACGGCUUACCAAGGCAACGAUAGGUAGGGGGCCUGAAAGGGUGAUCCCCCACACUGGUACUGAGACACGGACCAGACUCCUACGGGAGGCAGCAGUGAGGAAUAUUGCGCAAUGGAGGAAACUCUGACGCAGCCAUGCCGCGUGCAGGAAGACGGCCCUACGGGUUGUAAACUGCUUUUAUAUAGGAAGAAACCCCGAUACGUGUAUCGGCUUGACGGUACUAUAUGAAUAAGGACCGGCUAACUCCGUGCCAGCAGCCGCGGUAAUACGGAGGGUCCAAGCGUUAUCCGGAUUUAUUAGGUUUAAAGGGUCCGCAGGCGGGAUUUUAAGUCAGUGGUGAAAGCCUACAGCUCAACUGUAGAACUGCCAUUGAAACUGAUAUCCUUGAGUGUGGUUGAAGUGGGCGGAAUAUGUCAUGUAGCGGUGAAAUGCUUAGAUAUGACAUAGAACACCAAUUGCGAAGGCAGCUCACUAAGCCAUUACUAACGCUGAGGGACGAAAGCGUGGGGAGCGAACAGGAUUAGAUACCCUGGUAGUCCACGCCGUAAACGAUGAUCACUCGUUGCUAGCGAUAUACUGUUAGUGACCAAGCGAAAGUGUUAAGUGAUCCACCUGGGAAGUACGUUCGCAAGAAUGAAACUCAAGGAAUUGACGGGGGCCCGCACAAGCGGUGGAGCAUGUGGUUUAAUUCGAUGAUACGCGAGGAACCUUACCAGGGCUUAAAUGCAGAAUGACAGAUUU
rnacentral:rRNA from 1 species